CAUCCUACGGGACGCAGCAGUGGGGGAUAUUGGACAAUGGGGGGAGCCCUGAUCCAGCGACGCCGCGUGAGUGAAGAAGUAUUUCGGUAUGUAAAGCUCUGUCAGCAGGGAAGAAAGCAAUGACGGUACCUGACCAAGGAGCCCCGGCUAACUACGUGCCAGCAGCCGCGGUAAUACGUAGGGGGCAAGAGUUAUCCGGAAUUACUGGGCGUAAAGGGAGCGUAGACGGCUGUGCAAGUCUGGAGUGAAAGGCGGGGGGCCAACCCCCGGACUGCUCUGGAAACUGUAUGGCUG
rnacentral:rRNA from 1 species